UACGGAGGGUGCAAGCGUUGUCCGGAUUUAUUGGGUUUAAAGGGUGCGUAGGUGGUUGUCUAAGUCUGGUUUGAAAGUAGGUCGCUUAACGAUCUAAUGUGGCUGGAAACUGGGGAACUUGAAUGAGUUGGCGGUAGCCGGAACGGGUCAUGUAGCGGUGAAAUGCAUAGAUAUGACCCAGAACACCGAUUGCGAAGGCAGGCUACUACGACUUGAUUGACACUGAGGCACGAGAGCAUGGGGAGCGAACAGG
rnacentral:rRNA from 1 species